rnacentral:rRNA from 1 species
CUUAGAUUAUUAAUAGAUAUAGUCUUUAAAUUCGAAGAAUUUGGCGGUGAUUUAGUCUCGUUAGAGGAACCUGUUAUUGGAUCGAUAAACCACGCAGGAUUUUACUUGUUUUAUUAGUUUGUAUACCGUCAUUAUCAGGUAAUUUUUAAAAAAUGAAUUGCUAAAUUUUUAAUGUAAAGAAAGUUAAAUUAGAUCAAGGUGCAGCUUAUAAAUGAGUUAUAAUGGGUUACAAUAAAGCUUAUUUAUAUGGAGUAAUAAUAGGAAGCUAUUUUAUGAAGGCGGAUUUAAUUGUAAUGAAAGUUUAAUAAGCUUUUAAGAUAUAAGCCCUAGAUCAU